GCAUUUAAUUCAGUAGCACCUACAUUAAAGCUGGAACAAUACAAAGAUUAGAAUGGCCCCUGUUCAAGGAUGGCAGGCAAAUUUUAAAAAGAAAACUUCUAUGC